rnacentral:lncRNA from 1 species
CCCCAUCAGAGACGCAACGCAACUCACACUUUCCUUCCUCUAUCUAAAAAUUAAAUAUACCAACAAACCAAAACGAAAAGCAAAAUUACAUAAAUCCCAAAAACUCACAUUCCAAGUGCCUCUCUAACCUUUUCCUUUUAUCGUCUCCCCUUUCAACUCCAACUUCAUCUUCUCCGCAUUUCUCUAGAUCCGCUGCUUCGCUCCUCUCCCUACCUUUUUACUCCACCUACGUGUCCAGAUCCCACUCCACCGCCUCCCUUCUCCGUCAAUCUCGCCCGUCCACUUUUUCUCUUCUCUCGAGGUCUCCUCGUUUCAAAUUCAGAUCUCUUCCACUUCCUUUCAAAACUGCUUCUCAAAAAUCUCAACUUCCUCUUCCACUCACUGUCUCCCUCAGAUCCACAUUUUCUCGGGAACAAGCAUCUCGAACUUUCUUCUUCUUCUUCAACAAUGGCGAGGUUCAUCGAGCUCUGCUCGCCUCUGCUUCUUGCCUUUCUCCUAGUCCAAUUCUCCAUUGUAUCUUCUUCGUCUCCACCACAGCCCUCGCCGACUCCAUCGCCUCAACCCGCUGCCGAUUCACCUUCGCCGAAAUCUCCAUCGCCGAUUUCCCUUCCUCCAUCUCCGUCGAACGCUCCAGUGAACUCACCACAUCCUUCUUCACCUCCGGCGCCACCGCAAUCAUCUCCGUCUCAAUCUCCGUCGGCCGAUGACACGCCUCCAGUUCCUUCUCCAGCGCCGUCGAAUCCGAGCGACAUCAACCACAGCGACGUCAACGCGGACGGAGACGGAGCUGAGAACUCCUCUGGAGGAAUGAGCCCGGGAAAGAAGGCAGGGGUCGUACUUGGAGUGAUCGUUGGGGUUGGCGUGGUAGGGCUUGCAGGCUUUGUCUACAAGAAACGUCAGGAUAACGUUCGUCGAUCUCAGUACGGAUACGCCGCCAGGAGAGAGAUUCUCUGAAGAACUACUCAUAGUCUCUCAUACGCUAAAGCUCUUAGAGGUUACUGUGAAAUGUUUAAUUUCUCGUAUUUUUUUAGUUAAUUUCUGUGCUUGCUUAGUAUAUGAUUGAAUGUAGGUUUUGGCGAUGGUGAUUCAAUUUGAUUCUUCAUUCUUUGGCGCGCCGGCGGUGCUAGAGUUGGUGGUAGUUAGAAUUUUGGGAUGAGUUAUUGGCGUAAAAUACUAAAUUAGUCAAUAUGAUCAUUGAUGUAUUGCUUUUCUAUUUUAGAAUGAUAUAAUAAUUGGAUUUACUGAUUUAGCAUUCAGUAUGCUCGUUUUUCUCACUGUUGACUUGAUUUGCUCUAUCUGUUUAUGCUAUCUAAUGUUUGGGUACUGAGAAAAUCG